rnacentral:rRNA from 1 species
GAUCAUGGCUCAGAACGAACGCUGGCGGCGCGUUUAAGCAUGCAAGUCGAGCGGCAAGGGCCUUCGGGCCCCUAGAGCGGCGGACGGGUGAGUAACACGUGGACAAUCUGCCCCCCGGCCCGGGAUAGCCCAGGGAAACCUGGAUUAAUACCGGAUGAGACGGGACCCGCGAUGGCGGGACCCGGGAAAGGCGCUGCGGCGCCGCCGGGGGAUGAGUCUGCGUCCCAUUAGCUAGACGGCGGGGUAACGGCCCACCGUGGCGACGAUGGGUAGCCGGCCUGAGAGGGUGGACGGCCACAUUGGAACUGAGACACGGUUCAGACUCCUACGGGAGGCAGCAGCUAAGAAUCUUCCGCAAUGGGCGAAAGCCUGACGGAGCCGACGCCGCGUGAACGAAGAAGGCCGUGAGGUUGUAAAGUUCUUUUCGGGAGGGGGAACAACCGUGGCAGGGAAUGGCCGCGGGAUGACGUGAAUCCCGGAAUAAGCCCCGGCUAACUACGUGCCAGCCGCCGC